AUUAAAAUUGGAAGUUAACUGCGCACGAAGUAAUUUCAUUUAUGCGUUAUCUUUGAACAGAUCACUUCAAAAUGAAUAUAAUUCUGUACGUUUUGUCGGUUGUUAUUUUCUUAAAGAAUGUCGUCGCACAGGUACCGUAUGACUACAUACCUCUAGGCCAGGCACGCCGCGCCUCGCCGCGUGCUCACCCAUCCGACAUUAAUCUCAAUUACGAGCGCCUGUUCCCUUCACGACGCAAAUAUAUUGAUUGAAUAUAACAUAAUUAAUGUUUAAUUUUAUAAUAAAAUAUUUUCAUUUUUA